GAAAAGGGUCUACUCAGUCCACUGAAUAAUACAUUUCAUCUCUAACAUCACUCUGUGACAGGGCUCUACAACCUUGGACAUGGGUGUCAGCACAAUGAUGUAUAAAGCUGCAGGCAGCGGCCCACUGGGACGAAGAAGUCAAGAAACACUGAGACAUACACGGUUGAAGAUGGCGCAGAUGUUGAAGACAGGCUGGUGCAAGAAACGUGGAUCAAAUUAGACAGUGUGAGAAUAGUGAGGUUACUGCUGGAUCUGCCGAGAGUAAAGCAAGUUAACUCAGAUUUGGACACAUCGUCUACCCGAGUUAUAAGAUGAUUAAGUACACAUGAUGCAAUUUUAAUACAGCUGCCUGCAAUAAACAAA